UUCAAGAAGUCAUAACGAUAUUGAGGAAUACACCCUUGAGUCAAACUAUGAGUCUUUGCCUUGGCAUGUUUUGAUGUAAGCUUCCGCGCCGAUGUUCAAUUUAAGUCUUAUGGUUCUUUAUCCAUUUAUUUUAGUCUUAUCGAUACUCGUACCCCGCUAAUACUAGCGUUGGGAUUUCGGGCUGCGACAUUUAGUAAAGAUUUAUUGUCACUGAAAGUUUAAUUUGAGAUCUAACACAAUACUCAUAUUGAAACACGUACACCUAAAGCAAUCUGAAUCCUGAUACUCAUAACAUAUCUAAAAGGCAUAUGUACCUUCAAGUGUGGUCACCCAGAUUUUUGUACUGAAAUGAGCAAUGAAAUUCAGUCAACAAAGCCUCCUGUUGAGAUCAAGCUUCGGCCAUGACAGACAGGUGAUGGUGGAAAAUAAGAUAUAUGAUAUCAUACUCGAAUAAAUCAGAAACUAACCCACCUUUAUUUGAUUUGCAUAUGAUACUCGUAUAACUCAUAAGUUUUGAAAGUGAUGUUAAUGUACCUGCUGUAAAUUUAGAUCCGAUUAUGCAACCAAUCUAACGGUGAGAGAGAGAAAAAAAAAGUUGGGAGAAACUGACGACAACAGCGGUAGCAAAGCAGCGGGGCGGCGGCGGGGAUGCCAUACGACAGCGGCUGUAGAAGAAAAAGGGUUUCAAUUUUUGUUGAUGGGGUCUGCUCUAAACAUUUGAGAGGGUAGAUAAUUAAUUUUGAAGGGGUGGGCCGUGGGUGAAUCGGUUAUGACUAAAAAGCCUAUACACCUAAUUGUUG
rnacentral:lncRNA from 1 species